GACGAACGCUGGCGGCGUGCUUAACACAUGCAAGUCGAACGAUGAAGCCGGAGCUUGCUCUGGUGAAUUAGUGGCGAACGGGUGAGUAACACGUGAGUAACCUGCCCUUGACUCUGGGAUAACUGCUAGAAAUGGUAGCUAAUACCGGAUACGACCCUCGGAGGCAUCUCCAGGGGGUGGAAAGAAUUUCGGUCAAGGAUGGACUCGCGGCCUAUCAGCUAGUUGGUGAGGUAACGGCUCACCAAGGCGACGACGGGUAGCCGGCCUGAGAGGGUGAUCGGCCACACUGGGACUGAGACACGGCCCAGACUCCUACGGGAGGCAGCAGUAGGGAAUCUUCCGCAAUGGGCGAAAGCCUGACGCAGCAACGCCGCGUGGGGGAUGAAGGCCUUCGGGUUGUAAACCUCUUUCAGCAGGGAAGAAGCGAAAGUGACGGUACCUGCAGAAGAAGCACCGGCUAACUACGUGCCAGCAGCCGCGGUAA
rnacentral:rRNA from 1 species